GAAAUGCGAUAAUUAAUGUGAAUUGCAGAAUUCAGUGAAUCAUCGAGUCUUUGAACGCACAUUGCGCCCCCUGGUAUUCCGGGGGGCAUGCCUGUCCGAGCGUCAUUGCUGCCCUCAAGCACGGCUUGUGUGUUGGGCUUCCGUCCCUGGCAACGGGGACGGGCCCAAAAGGCAGUGGCGGCACCAUGUCUGGUCCUCGAGCGUAUGGGGCUUUGUCACCCGCUCCCGUAGGUCCAGCUGGCAGCUAGCCUCGCAACCAAUCUUUUUAACCAGGUGGACCUCGGAUCAGGUAGGGAUACCCGCUGAACUUAAGC
rnacentral:misc_RNA from 1 species